rnacentral:rRNA from 1 species
CCUACGGGUGGCAGCAGUGGGGGAUAUUGCACAAUGGGGGGAACCGUGAUGCAGCGACGCCGCGUGGGUGAAGAAGGGCCUCGGCGCGUAAAGCCCUGUCAGCAGGGAAGAAAAUGACGGUACCUGAAGAAGAAGCCCCGGCGCACUCCGUGCCAGCAGCCGCGGUAAUACGUAGGGGGCAAGCGUUAUCCGGAUUGACUGGGGGGAACGGGGGCGCAGACGGCGAUGCAAGCCAGGAGGGCAAGCCCGGGGCCCAACCCCGGGACUGCUCUUGGAACGGCGUGGCUGGAGUGCAGGAGGGGCCGGCGGAAUUCCUGGUGUAGCGGUGAAAUGCGUAGAUAUCAGGAGGAACCCCGGUGGCGAAGGCGGCCUGCUGGACUGCAACUGACGUUGAGGCCCGAAAGCGUGGGGAGCAAACAGGAUUAGAUACCCUAGUAGUC